UGGGGAAUCUUCCGCAAUGGACGAAAGUCUGACGGAGCAACGCCGCGUGAGUGAAGAAGGUUUUCGGAUCGUAAAACUCUGUCUUUUGGGGCGAACGUGAGUAUGGUGAACAAUCAUAGUCAGUGACGGUACCAAAGGAGGAAGCCACGGCUAACUACGUGCCAGCAGCCGCGGUAAUACGUAGGUGGCAAGCGUUGUCCGGAAUUAUUGGGCGUAAAGAGCGCGUAGGCGGGAUAGUCAGUCUGUUGUAAAAGUGCGGGGCUCAACCCCGUGAUCGCAAUGGAAACAGCUAUUCUUGAGUGCAGGAGAGGAAAGUGGAAUUCCCAGUGUAGCGGUGAAAUGCGUAGAUAUUGGGAGGAACACCAGUGGCGAAGGCGACUUUCUGGACUGUGUCUGACGCUGAGGCGCGAAAGCCAGGGGAGCGAACGGGAUUAGAUACCCCGGUAGUCCUGGCCGUAAACGAUGGGUACUAGGUGUGGGAGGUAUCGACCCCUUCCGUGCCGGAGUUAACGCAAUAAGUACCCCGCCUGGGGAGUACGGUCGCAAGACUGAAACUCAAAGGAAUUGAC
rnacentral:rRNA from 1 species